UACGAAGGGUGCAAGCGUUACUCGGAAUUACUGGGCGUAAAGCGUGCGUAGGUGGUUUGUUAAGUCUGUUGUGAAAGCCCCGGGCUCAACCUGGGAAUGGCAAUGGAUACUGGCAAGCUAGAGUGCGGUAGAGGGUAGUGGAAUUCCCGGUGUAGCGGUGAAAUGCGUAGAGAUCGGGAGGAACACCAGUGGCGAAGGCGACUACCUGGCCUGUUCUUGACGCUGAGGCGCGAAAGCUAGGGGAGCAAACGGG
rnacentral:rRNA from 1 species